GACAGAGGUGCCAAGCGUUAGGCGGAAUCACUGGGCUUAAAGCGUGUGUAGGCGGAUUUGUAAGUACCUUGUGAAAUCCCACGGCUCAACCGUGGAACUGCUCGGUAUACUGCUUAUCUUGAGCCACUUAGGGGCUACCGGAACAAAUGGUGGAGCGGUGAAAUGCGUAGAUAUCAUUUGGAACGCCAAUGGUGAAAACAGGUAGCUGGGAGUGUGCUGACGCUGAGACACGAAAGCCAGGGGAGCAAACAGG
rnacentral:rRNA from 1 species